rnacentral:tRNA from 1 species
GGAAAGGUAGCUCAGUGGUAGAGUGCUUGCCUUGCAUGCAUGAGGCCUAGGUUCGAUUCCUUAGCACCA